rnacentral:rRNA from 1 species
GGGUAAGUUGGUUGGUCGUGCCACCGGUUCGUACUGGUCUCACUGAUUCCUCCUUCCUGAAGAACCGUAAUGCCAUUAAAUUGGUGUUGCGGGGAAACAGGACUGUUACUUUGAAAAAAUUAGAGUGUUUAAAGCAAGCUAACGCUUGAAUACAUUAGCAUGGAAUAAUGAAAUAGGACGAUCGAUCCUAUUUUGUUGGUUUCUAGGAUUGACGUA